rnacentral:rRNA from 1 species
CUGGUUGAUCCUGCCAGAGGUUACUGCUAUCGAGGUUCGACUAAGCCAUGCGAGUCGAAUGUAGCAAUACAUGGCGUACUGCUCAGUAACACGUGGACAACCUACCCUUAGGACGGGGAUAAACCCGGGAAACUGGGUAUAAUACCCGAUAGUCCUCGGCUGCUGGAAUGCACCGAGUACUAAAGCUCCGGCGCCUAAGGAUGGGUCUGCGGCCUAUCAGGUAGUAGUGGGUGUAGCGUACCUACUAGCCUACGACGGGUACGGGUUGUGAGAGCAAGAGCCCGGAGAUGGAUUCUGAGACACGAAUCCAGGCCCUACGGGGUGCAGCAGGCGCGAAAACUUUACAAUGCUGGCAACAGCGAUAAGGGGACCUCGAGUGCCAGGUUACAAAUCUGGCUGUCGUGAUGCCUAAAAAGCAUUGCAUAGCAAGGGCCGGGCAAGACCGGUGCCAGCCGCCGCGGUAACACCGGCGGCUCGAGUGGUAACCGUUAUUAUUGGGUCUAAAGGGUCUGUAGCCGGCCGGAUAAGUCUCUUGGGAAAUCUGGCAGCUUAACUGUCAGGCUUUCAGGAGAUACUGUCUGGCUCGAGGCCGGGAGAGGUGAGAGGUACUUCAGGGGUAGGGGUGAAAUCUUGUAAUCCUUGAAGGACCACCAGUGGCGAAGGCGUCUCACCAGAACGGACCUGACGGCAAGGGACGAAAGCUAGGGGCACGAACCGGAUUAGAUACCCGGGUAGUCCUAGCCGUAAACGAUACUCGCUAGGUGUCGGCCACGGUGCGACCGUUGUCGGUGCCGUAGGGAAGCCGUGAAGCGAGCCACCUGGGAAGUACGGCCGCAAGGCUGAAACUUAAAGGAAUUGGCGGGGGAGCACCACAACGGGUGGAGCUUGCGGUUUAAUUGGAGUCAACGCCGGG